AUUGAACGCUAGCGGGAUGCUUUACACAUGCAAGUCGAACGAGUGGCGGACGGGUGAGUAAUAUAUCGGAACGUGCCCAGUAGCGGGGGAUAACUAAUCGAAAGAGUGGCUAAUACAGCAUACUAUUGGAGCGGCCGAUAUCGGAUUAGCUAGGUGGUGGGGUAAAGGCUCACCAAGGCAACGAUCCGUAGCUGGUUUGAGAGGACGACCAGCCACCCUGGGAGUGAGACCCGGCCCAGCCUCCUACGGUAGGCAGUAGUGGGGAAUUUUGGACCAUGGGGGGAACCCUGAUCCAGCCAUCCCGCGUGUAUGAGAAGGACUUCGGGGUGUAAAGUACUUUUGGCAGGGAAGCGGUAUCUGCAGAAUAAGCACCGGCUAACUACGUGCCAGCAGCCGCGGUAAUAC
rnacentral:rRNA from 1 species